UACGGGGGGGGCAAGCGUUGUUCGGAAUUACUGGGCGUAAAGGGUUCGUAGGUGGCCAACUAAGUCAGACGUGAAAUCCCUCAGCUUAACUGGGGAACUGCGUCUGAGACUGGAUGGCUCGAGUGCAGGAGAGGAAUGCGGAAUUCCAGGUGUAGCGGUGAAAUGCGUAGAUAUCUGGAGGAAUACCGGUGGCGAAGGCGGCACCCUGGGCCGGCAUUGACGCUGAGGAGCGAAAGCCUGGGGAGCAAACGGG
rnacentral:rRNA from 1 species